CUGUGAGUACAGGGUUGCCUUCGUAAGACUAAUUGCUACAGAGCUGCGCUUGAUGUUUAACUCGCUGCCCGCUGAAGCCUUCAUCUCACUGCGGAGGAGGAAAGGAGAGGAGAAGAGAGGCAUGUUUCCUCCUCACACUGCUGGCUGCAUGCCCGUAGCAGGAUGGAGAAGUUUACACAGCUUCUGGAG